UGUUCGGUUGCGAUCCGAUAUUUGUCGGUUUUUGCCCGUCACAUCAAAGGAUGUUCGCCGUGGCUCGGAUAACAGUCUGGACGUCGCUGCGAACACUUCCUGCGAACAUUCAGUUGUCGACGUGGAGCGGUGUUGUCUUCACGGAGUUAGUAGCGGUGCGUGACUCUUUUGUUAUAUGAGAAUGGAGUGGUCCAAGGAAGAUCAAAUAAAACUGAUAGAUUUGUAUAAACAACAAACAGUGAUAUGGGACCCAAACAAUGUUAAUCAUUUCAACAAAAUUAGAAAACAAGACGCGUGGGAAGAAAUCGGGGCCGAAAUGGACAGAGAUGUGGACGAAUGUAAGAAGAAAAUGGAGAGUUUGCUAUCAGCAUUAAGAAGGGAGAGGAAGAAAAUGAAAGACACUGCUGGAACUGGAAAAGGAACUGACGAAAUGUACAGAAGUUCCUGGUUCGCUUUCGAAAGUCUACGUUUCUUGCUGGACAAAAAUAAACCAAGAAAGACAAUUUCGACGAUGCGAGUAGAAAGCGAAGAGAGAGACGUAGAAUGUGGUGCAGUUGGAGAAUCAGCACAGGAAACUGUACCGAAAAAGAAGAAGCAGCGAGUCGAAGAUGCACGUCUGGACAAAGCCUUUCAUAUAUUGUCGUCCACCGCGAGUCAGCUUAACGAUGAGUGCCAACAUUUUGGAAAUUUGGUCGCAUCUAAGUUGAGACAG